rnacentral:rRNA from 1 species
CGAAAGCCUGACGGAGCAAUACCGCGUGAGGGAGGAAGGCUUUUGGGUUGUAAACCUCUUUUCUCAAGGAAGAAGUCAGUGACGGUACUUGAGGAAUCAGCAUCGGCUAACUCCGUGCCAGCAGCCGCGGUAAUACGGAGGAUGCAAGCGUUAUCCGGAAUCAUUGGGCGUAAAGCGUCCGCAGGUGGCGUAUCAAGUCUGCUGUCAAAGACUAGAGCUCAACUCUGGAAAGGCGGUGGAAACUGGUAGGCUAGAGUACGGUAGGGGUAGAGGGAAUUCCCAGUGUAGCGGUGAAAUGCGUAGAUAUUGGGAAGAACACCAGUGGCGAAGGCGCUCUACUGGGCCGUAACUGACACUCAGGGACGAAAGCUAGGGUAGCG